AUCAUCAGAGUUAGUCUCAGUCCAUCAGGACAAGGAUUAGUCUUUAUUCACAUGUAUGAAUCACUCCAAGAAUCAUAAGUGCGCUUGAAUAGUUGAGCAUCAUGUAGCUAGCUGUUAAUAGUGACGUCUAGUAUGAAGUGAAACAACUUCCAUUGUCAAAUGAAUUUUGUACUAAUGUGAAAAAUUGAUGUUAA